rnacentral:rRNA from 1 species
AGUGAACGCUGGCGGUAGGCCUAACACAUGCAAGUCGAACGGCAGCACAGUAAGAGCUUGCUCUUACGGGUGGCGAGUGGCGGACGGGUGAGGAAUACAUCGGAAUCUACUUUUUCGUGGGGGAUAACGUAGGGAAACUUACGCUAAUACCGCAUACGACCUACGGGUGAAAGCAGGGGAUCUUCGGACCUUGCGCGAUUGAAUGAGCCGAUGUCGGAUUAGCUAGUUGGCGGGGUAAAGGCCCACCAAGGCGACGAUCCGUAGCUGGUCUGAGAGGAUGAUACGCCACACUGGAACUGGGACACGGUCCAGACUCCUACGGGAGGCAGCAGUGGGGAAGAUUGGACAAUGGGGGCAAGCCUGAUCCAGCCCUACCGGGUGGGUGAAGGAGGCCCUCGGGUUGGAAAGCCCUUUUGUUGGGAAAGAAAAGCAGCAGGUUAAUACCCCGCUGUUCUGACGGUACCCAAAGAAUAAGCACCGGCUAACUUCGUG